GGGGUUAUAGCUCAGAUGGUUAGAGCGCUUCACUGAUAAUGAAGAGGCCCCAGGUUCAAGUCCUGGUAACCCCA
rfam:Tropheryma whipplei str. Twist, complete genome.